rnacentral:lncRNA from 1 species
CAUUGUUUGAGGAAAUGAAAAGACAAGGCACCGUCUGAUAGAAAAAUACGUGCAAAGGACACGUCCAGUGAAGGAGCUUUAUCAAGACUUUAUAAAACAAGGCUCAAAACUCAACAGAAAGAAGACAAGCAACUCAAUAAAAAUGACCAGCAAUGGCCGGCCCAAUGGCGGUUAAGUUCACACAUUCCUCUUCGACGGCCUCAGCCUGGGGUUCACAGGUUCGGAUCCUGGGUGUGGACGUGGCACCGCUUGUGAAGCCAUGCUGUGGCAGGCGUCCCACAUAUAAAGUGGAGGAAGGUGGACACAAAUGUUAGCUCAGGGCCAGUCUUCCUCAGCAAGAAAAAAAAAAAAGACCAGCAAAAGAUUGCAACACACUCCUCACGAAAGCAUACAUAUGGAUCCAAAGAUGCCCAGCAUCGGAGAAACGGGAUUAAAACCACAGCAAACACCACUUCCCGACUAUCACAACGGCUAAAACCAACAAGGCUGACGAGCACAGGAGCGUGUGAGGCCACUGGACUCUCCCACCGCAGACGGGAGCGUGAAACAGUGUGACCAGGGUGGACGACAGCUUGGGGGUCUCGCAAAAAGCUAAACGCACACGUUCCAGACUCCAGCCACUCGCUGCCGGUCCCGACCCAGGAGAAACGAAGGCCCAUUUCCGGGCAAAGGCUUGUGCACGGAAGUCCCUACAGCGGCUCCAUCUGGGCGCCGAGCAGGAAAACCUGGGCCUACACGACGGAGGGAGACACCCGGACGGACGCAGCCUCAGGACACACGUCUCACGGAGGCGGCACUGCUCCCGCCCGAGUCGCCCAGACCCGCCUCCCCUGCGACAUCAGAACUGCUCAGCCAGGAAGCUGCAGCCCCACCGCCCACCGGGCCGUGCACCCCCGAGCCCACUUACAGGGGCCCAACCGUGUUCAAGGCCAAGAUCAGCAAUUCCGCCACAUUCUGGGGGCUUCUCCAGGGCAGCGACACCGACCACACUGAGGCUGCUGUGUAUUUCCACUGUGAGAUGCACGAGGAGGGACCAUGAAGCAGUGAGCUCGCUGCACCGCGGUCACGUCCCCACAGACACACGUAAGGCCGACGAACAGAGGGAGGAAAUCAGUU